GCCUUUGUGGCGCAGUGGUAGCGCGUUCCGCUCGUAUUGACGAAACGGAUAGGUCCUGUGUUCAAAUCACAGCUGAGGCA